AUUGAACGCUGGCGGCAGGCCUAACACAUGCAAGUCGAGCGGAUGAAGGGAGCUUGCUCCUGGAUUCAGCGGCGGACGGGUGAGUAAUGCCUAGGAAUCUGCCUGGUAGUGGGGGAUAACGUCCGGAAACGGGCGCUAAUACCGCAUACGUCCUGAGGGAGAAAGUGGGGGAUCUUCGGACCUCACGCUAUCAGAUGAGCCUAGGUCGGAUUAGCUAGUUGGUGGGGUAAAGGCCUACCAAGGCGACGAUCCGUAACUGGUCUGAGAGGAUGAUCAGUCACACUGGAACUGAGACACGGUCCAGACUCCUACGGGAGGCAGCAGUGGGGAAUAUUGGACGAUGGGCGAAAGCCUGAUCAAGCCAUGCCGCGUGUGUGAAGAAGGUCUUCGGAUUGUAAAGCACUUUAAGUUGGGAGGAAGGGCAGUAAGUUAAUACCUUGCUGUUUUGACGUUACCAACAGAAUAAGCACCGGCUAACUUCGUG
rnacentral:rRNA from 1 species